CUAUACUCCCUAGACCACACCCUGUCUCAUCUGAUCUUGGAAGCUAAACUGUGUGGGGCCUGAAUUGAAGCUUCGCAGGAAAGA
ensembl:rRNA 5S_rRNA 5S ribosomal RNA